GAGUUUGAUCCUGGCUCAGAACGAACGUUGGCGGCGUGGAUUAGGCAUGCAAGUAGAGCGAGGACUGGGGGCAACUCCAGAGCCGAGCGGCGUAAGGGGCAGUAAGGUAUGGGUUACGUACCCCCGGAUCGGGGAUAGCUACGGGAAACUGUAAGUAAUACCCGAUGAUGUCGAGAGACCAAAGAUUUAUCGUCCGGGGAGCGGCUCAUAUGCUAUUAGCUAGUUGGUGGGGUAAUGGCCCACCAAGGCGAAGAUGGCUAGCGGGUGUGAGAGCACGACCCGCGCCACUGGCACUGAGACACUGGCCAGACACCUACGGGUGGCUGCAGUCGAGGAUCUUCGGCAAUGAGCGCAAGCUUGACCGAGCGACGCCGCCUGCGGGAUGAAGGCCUUCGGGUUGUAAACCGCUUUGGUGGGGGAUAAAGGCCCGCAAGGGCUCGAUAGAUCCCAGAAACAAGCACGGGCUAAGUUCGUGCCAGCAGCCGCGGUAAGACGAACCGUGCGAACGUUGUUCGGAAUCACUGGGCAUAAAGGGCGCGUAGGCGGUUUGUCAAGUCGGGGGUGAAAUACUUCGGCUCAACCGGAGCAUUGCCUUCGAAACUGACAAACUCGAGCGAGAUAGAGGUGGCCGGAACUACCAGUGGAGCGGUGAAAUGCAUUGAUAUUGGUAGGAACGCCGGAGCCGAAAGGGGGCCACCGGAUCUCUUCUGACGCUGAGGCGCGAAAGCUAGGGGAGCAAACGGGAUUAGAUACCCCGGUAGUCCUAGCCCUAAACGAUGGGUACUAGAUGGUGGAACCGACACAGUUUCACUGUCGAAGCAAAUGUGGUAAGUACCCCGCCUGGGGAGUAUGGUCGCAAGGCUGAAACUCAAAGGAAUUGACGGGGGCUCACACAAGCGGUGGAGCAUGUGGCUUAAUUCGAGGCUACGCGAAGAACCUUAUCCUGGACUUGACAUAUGCGAAAGCGUCAGGAAGUAGUCUGCGGAAACGUUAGACGAACGGUAUCCAACCCGGAACCUGAUACAGGUGCUGCAUGGCUGUCGUCAGCUCGUGUCGUGAGAUGUCGGGUUAAGUCCCAUAACGAGCGAAACCCUUGCCCUUAGUUGCCAGCGGGUCAUGCCGGGCACUCUAAGGGGACUGCCGGUGUUAAACCGGAGGAAGGCGGGGAUGACGUCAAGUCCUCAUGGCCUUUAUGUCCAGGGCUGCACACGUGCUACAAUGCGGCGUACAAAGGGAAGCCAAAGCGCGAGCUGGAGCCAAUCCCAAAAAACGUCGCUCAGUUCAGAUUGAAGGCUGCAACUCGCCUUCAUGAAGCUGGAAUCGCUAGUAAUCGCGGAUCAGCAAUGCCGCGGUGAAUGUGUUCCUGAGCCUUGUACACACCGCCCGUCAAGCCACGAAAGGGAGGGGCAUCCGAAGUCGCCACAAGCGCCGAAGAUGAAACUCCUGAUUGGGACUAAGUCGUAACAAGGUAACCA
rnacentral:rRNA from 1 species